rnacentral:rRNA from 1 species
GACGAACGCUGGCGGCGUGCUUAACACAUGCAAGUCGAACGGUGAAGCGCCUUCCUUUUUGGUGGGUGUGGAUGAGUGGCGAACGGGUGAGUAACACGUGAGUAACCUGCCCCCUUCUUCUGGAUAACCGCAUGAAAGUGUGGCUAAUACGGGAUAUUCUGGGUCUGUCGCAUGAUGGGUCUGGGAAAGAUAUUGUUUCGGUGGGGGAUGGGCUCGCGGCCUAUCAGCUUGUUGGUGGGGUGAUGGCCUACCAAGGCGGUGACGGGUAGCCGGCCUGAGAGGGUGGACGGUCACACUGGGACUGAGACACGGCCCAGACUACUACGGGAGGCAGCAGUGGGGAAUAGUGCACAAUGGGCGCAAGCCUGAUGCAGCGACGCCGCGUGAGGGAUGGAGGCCUUCGGGUUGUGAACCUCUUUCGCCAGUGAAGCAGGCCUGCCUCGUUUGUGGGUGGGUUGACGGUAGCUGGAUAAGAAGCGCCGGCUAACUACGUG